CAGUGGGUGGAAAACAACGAAGGCUGCUGCUCCGUGGUGACUCCGCUGGAGUUGUAUCACUAUGGAAUGUAGACCAGGCUGUCACGCCAGUCCUCAACCAGUUACCUUCGCAUGCCCCAAUUGUAAUGACAAGUUUAGAUAUGGCCUGGGAGGAGAUGAACCCAAGCCCUGUCGGUAUAUUGGACCAAUUGAGUCAUCCAGAUGAACAAGAAAUAAAGUUAACAGCAUCCAUCUAUCUAUUGGCUGCUAACCGUUUAGUGGUCGGCAGAGAGGAUGGUUCCAUUGUGAUAGUAAA